rnacentral:rRNA from 1 species
UACGAAGGGGGCUAGCGUUGCUCGGAAUCACUGGGCGUAAAGGGCGCGUAGGCGGCCCCCAGCAGUGGCGCGUGGAAUCCCCCGGCUCACCCGGGGGGGGCCGCGCCAGACGGGGGGGCUCGAGGAGGGACGAGGGCCACGGAACGGGCGGAGUAGGGGUGAAAUCCGUAGAGACCGUCCGGAACACCGAUGGCGAAGGCAGUGGCCUGGGCCCUUCCUGACGCUGAGGUGCGAAAGCGUGGGGAGCGAACAGG